rnacentral:rRNA from 1 species
UACGAGGGGUGCUAGCGUUGUCCGGAAUCAUUGGGCGUAAAGGGUCCGUAGGCGGUUUGACAAGUCAAUUGUUAAAUACAUCGGCUUAACCGAUGGAAUGCAGUUGAAACUGUCAGAAUAGAGUUUAGGAGAGGAAAGUGGAAUUUCUGGUGUAGCGGUGACAUGCGUAGAUAUCAGAAGGAACACCAAUGGCGAAGGCAACUUUCUGGCCUAAAACUGACGCUGAGGGACGAAAGCGUGGGGAGCGAAC